rnacentral:lncRNA from 1 species
CAGCAUACGUUGGUUUCGGUUUGAAUGCUUAGAAAAAUAACAUAGUUGUGGACCUUGUGGUUGUAUGUUGUUGCAUGUACAGGAUGUACAGCAGCGAAACCAGGAGCAAGCACCGUUAAAGCUUGCUGUUAUCAACGGAUCGUCAAAUUAAAAUAAGCCAAGACUCAUAAAAUUAAGUGGUUACUAUUUCAAGAUGAUUAAUAAUCAGUUGAGUUAGCCAUAUGAUUGGUGUUUAAAUAAAUUGUUAAAGCUUUUGUGCUUUUUUUUUUUGGCGUUGUUGCAAUGUUGCCUCUCUACUUUUCAACAUAAAAAUCAAAACACCAAAUAUGUCAAGCCAAUCAAUAACGUUUUACGAUUUACAAGCAUAUUUGACAUGAAUUAUAAUACAAAAGUC